GUGCUCACUCUGGCAGCACAAAUAUGAAAACUUUGAUGAUAUAGAGAAGAUCAGCAUGGCCCCUGCACAAGGAAUGACAUAAAAAUUCAUGAAAGAUUCCAGAGUGUC